UUGCCAUUUUGUCGUUUUUGGAUAGUGAACAUUACAGAGGCAGACAGGAAACACAGAGACUGAAGGAGAGGGGUGUGACAACAGGUUUCACCCUCUAAUUGAGAUCACUGUUCUUAAGAAAACCCGAGAACAUGCUUCAGGCUUCAAGGAGAAGGGAAAAAAGCUCACUGAGGAAUGAGAAAGCUCACUAAUAAAUACGUGAUCACAGGGACAUUAUGUGCAACUUAUGUGCGAGUGAACAGGCUGCUCGCCAAAGUUUCAUGUAUUUCCCAAAAUGCUGCAACACAUUUGCUAAUAAGGUCGGUAUUUUGUAAUCAUAGCGUUUACUAUACCAGCAAUACCUGUGAGGCCAGUUUUACGCCCUGAUUUUCUGAAAUCAUCAGUGGUGUGUGAGGAUAAGUUUCCUCAUGUUAUAUUUCCUUAGGCUCAUCUGACUCCUGUCUCACUUGUGAACUAGUUAGGCUUUUCAUUUCCUUCACUUCUCAUGCUCUGAGCCCACAUUUCUCCCUGCUCCCACAGUGCUAAGCCCAGGGCUCAACACAGAUACACACCACAUGGCUCCCUGCAUGUUAUCUGCACGCAAACUACAGUAACACUGGCAAGAAAAAGAGGACGAGGAGGAAGAGCACAGUGAGAGGGAUAGAAGCUCACCUCCCAGUGGCUGAGAGGGCUGAGGAGGGUCGGGCCUGGAGGCUGCUUCUCUUCCACCGACUGAGCCAAGAGCAACAGGGCCAAUCGUACAAUCAUCUGGAGCAGAAGAGUGGAGACAACUACAGGGGCUCUAAGAGGAAGAUCCAUCAGUCCGUUUCCAGCUUUAUAUUGGCUUGCUAUUUGCCAAAUUUAUUGAUCAAUAACUCAUCUCUUACUGGAUCUUGUGCGGCUGGAACAUUAUCAUUGCAGUGUAUCAUUGCUGCUUGGCUGGCCUCUGUGUAAACCCUGGGCUCGUUCAGCAGCCCUGCUUACUCUCACCCUCGGCCUCCCAGUCGCUCAGCUCGCCUCCGGAAAGUUCUCCUCGCUCUGAGCGCUGGCAUCGGGAGUUGAAUCCAUGUAUGUGUUUAUGGAGUUCUGACAAAUUCCUUCCUCCUUGCUUUCUCUGUUGCGUUGCAGACUUGACAUGCAAGCAUUAUAUUUAAUCCUUCAUUCCUGGUGCAGGCAGGGGCAGUGUGGUGGAAGAGCUAUGGGGCCUGAAGCUGGAGCUAUGGCCUCUGUGGUGGCUGGUGCACCAUUAUGGAGGCAGCAGUACAGGCGAGCAAUGGGUUCAGAUGGGCCUUGUGGUAGAGCUAUGGGAUAUGUGGCUGAGGCGUAUUUUCUUAUGGCUGGGUACAGCCUGGGUCAUUGCCAUUGGGAAUACUGGUCAUUCUUGAAUUGGUUGAAUUGUGAAUAAGAUACUCCAGUCCACUGAUUAUUAGGUUCUCCAGUAGAUAAAGAAAAUCAAAUGGGAAUGUGCCCGCUUUUCUGUUAAUUAGACCCAGUUGUACCAAGCCACAUUACUGCUGAAGUCAAACAUAAAAAUGCAUAGGAGGUAACCACUCAUAUGGUAUACCACAUGCGGUGCUAUAAUUAUAAAUCAGUCCCGUAACAACCCUGUUAUGGUAGACAGUGCCUUCAGCCUGGGGCCAAAUUAAAGAUACAAAGAAACACAGAGUACUACAUGAGCCUCAGUAUGUUUCAAACAAAGUGCUUACUCGAUCAUCUGAAACUCCAUUUCCAGUGGAUGAGUGGAAAUGUGACUUUUGCAAGACAGACAAUCCGACAAGCUCGCUCACUCAAGGAACAACUGAUCAGGUGUGGAGAGGUUGGCAUGGUUUGCCUUUCUCUCUCAAGUUCUCUUUCUCUGAUUGCUCAGAAAAAGCUUUCGAGGAGAUACAGUCUGAAAGCAUGUGCUCUUAUCCUCACUUGUGCUGUUCAUCACAUGGAUACCUCAGACACAUGCAAAAGAUGCAGCCUUCCUUUAAGUGUGGACAUCUGAAUCUAGAAUAUCAUACAACCUAGUUUCUUUAAAGCAUGCUGAGACCUUGAGUUCAAAGCCGUGCCAGCAGCAAAGUGGUUUAAACCUGCAGUGAUGGAUUUUGUGGCCACUAGCUAUGCAGCACAACAAGCGGUAAACACAACACAAACAGCAGCCUAUUUACACAUUCAGCAACAUUAGAGUUCAUGAAAGUAAGGAUUCUCAAUUUUUUUUUCUUACCUGCCUUUUGAUUUCCACCAACUAGUCAGGGAAAUCUCUGGACUUACCUGCUGAAUGCGUCCCCAUGUUAACCAGCCAUUUGCUAAUUUUGCCUACUGUUUGAGCAGGCAGUGUACAGUGCAUUUGACACUGAUUAGACCAGUGAGUCGCAGGCUUGAAAAGCUAUACAGCUGAGAUGUCAUAAAGCUCUGUCGAACUGAGGGGAACAGCAUUUCACAUUACUCACAGUCAUCUGACUCACUGUAAUGUACAACAGAACAG